rnacentral:lncRNA from 1 species
CAGCACGAAGUUUGGGCUGUAGCAUUCUCUCUCCUGCUUCUGGCUUGGCUCACUUUUAUGCAUCCUAUUCUGCUUCUAACAUUAAUGCAUUGUCAAGACACCACACUCAGACCCAUGGCUACUUCUCUUUAAAGCAAAGGCUCUCACGUCACCACCUCAGGAAGGAUUAAAGUUUUCAAAUAUUUGACAGAUAGCACACAGCUGUAGCACAACCAUGACAUUAUUUCACAUCACUUUUCUCAUUCUGAACUCUUUAAAAUGAAUUUGUGAUGUAUAGUAAUGGGCCGUCUUCUGUAUGAUGACCUGAUAUGAAUUAGCAGUUGAGUUCAGGCUUAGUCUCACAACAUAAGGUGGAGAUUGGUUGAAAAAAAUACUGUACACAACUUUCAUACUUGCAUGCAUGGGUGACCUUACCUACAUCUGUGCAUGUGUGCAGUUCUGUGGAGCUCCUCCCCCUCUUCUUUUUACAACACUUCAAUCAUUUGGAAUGUCUAUGGCCUCCCUCUGUUUCUCAUUUGUUGCUUUCCUUGUUCAGGUGAUGUCAAAGUCAAUAAUCAGUUCCCAAUAUCAUUGGAAAGUACAACCAGGGGUGUCUAGUGCUGUGGAGUCAACACAACUGGAAAAAAACCAUAUGGAACUGAGAUACUUCACUGAUCCUCACUCGUGGGGUGGAAUGGCAGUGACUGUCAUAUCUGGUAACAUAGUGGCUUAAAGCCAAGAGGAGCUUCAUGGAAUUCAGACAUCUCUGCUACUUGGACUUUCUCCUCAACACUAACUCUGAUCGUAUCAUAAUUAUUGUUCAGAGAUGUAG